rnacentral:lncRNA from 1 species
UGGGAGCAUCCCUGGGCAGUGGAUUCCCCUAAACCCGCCGUCAAUCCCUGGAUCCCGUCUCUCCGCAGCCCCCUCAGCCCCUCGGGAUGGCCGCGUGUCUCCGGGCAGCGUUCCAGGCCCUGCGCCGGCCCCGUGGCUGUGCCCGGGUGGAUUUCUCCCAGCCCUUCUCCUUACAGGUACGGCAGCUGGGGAUGUCCCCGGAUCCGUCCUGGCACUGGGGGGCUGUUCCCAGGAUGUUGGUGGGUUUGGGGUGUCUGAGGGUAUCCAGUGAAUCCAUUGCUGGGUGAUCUGGGCUCCUCCCAGCCCUGGGGCUGCAGGGAUUGAGUGAGCUCGUGGUGCUGAGGGCUGUGAGCACCUCCAGGCUCCUUUCUGCUCAUUCCCAGGAAUUUGUGGAGAACAACCUGGUGGGGCCGACGCUCAGAGGGAAUCGGCCGGAGCAGCUGCUGCUUCCCACCAUCCUUGGCACGUGGUGAGGAGCUGAGCCCCGGGCAGCGUUUCCCCCUGGAUCUCUGCUCCCGGCUCCUCUUGCUCAGCCCUCUCCCCCAAUGUCCCAGCGUGCCAGAUGCGGGGAAUGUGGGCACUUUGGGUGCCGGUGUGGGGACAGAAGAGGAGAUUUUGGUGACGGCGCUGGGGCUGCACACACUGAGCGAUUCCAGCGCCUGCUCCGCCAUCAUGGCUGUGGGAAUCACCGCGGCGCUGCUGCUCCACAGGCACCGGGAGGCCGUGCUGCUGCCCCGGCUGAUGCGGGAUUUCUCGGGGCUGCUGGAGCAGCUCCUGCUGCGGGGCCGGGCCGUGGGAUUCCGCGGGCAGCUGCGGGCGCUGGUGCUGCACAGCCUGC